rfam:Moraxella porci DSM 25326 strain CCTG 54912 54912T_ctg_0000001, whole genome shotgun sequence.
AAGUUUCUGAAGUACUCGCCAGUGAAGCGUAUUCCUGAGCCGAUAAUCUUAUAUUAGGAUUUGGGUUCAAUGUUUCUGUUGAGCAGGCCUGCAUCCUUGUGAUGAAUCAGGAAGCCGUAAUGAGCAUUACCCUUAUCCGCCUUGAACUUCACGGUUCAUGGUCACCCCUUCACAGCGGUACUUUGGUUUUUUA